rnacentral:sRNA from 1 species
AGGCUUAAGCUCAGGCUUAGGCUUAGGCUUUAUAUCAGGCUUAGGCUUAUGGUCAGGCUUA